rnacentral:rRNA from 1 species
UACGGGGGGGGGCAAGCGUUGUUCGGAAUUACUGGGCGUAAAGGGCGCGUAGGCGGUUGGAUAAGUCAGCUGUGAAAACCACGGGCUUAACUCGUGGCCUGCAGUUGAGACUGUCUGGCUUGAGUGUGGGAGAGGAGAGUGGAAUUCCUGGUGUAGCGGUGAAAUGCGUAGAUAUCAGGAGGAACACCGGUGGCGAAGGCGGCGUCUCUGGACCACAACUGACGCUGAGGCGCGAAGCUAGGGAGCAAACAGG